UACGUAGGGGGCAAGCGUUGUCCGGAAUCAUUGGGCGUAAAGGGCGCGUAGGUGGCCCGGUCAGUUCGUGGUGAAAGCGCGGGGCUCAACCCUGCGUCGGCCAUGAAUACUGCCGCGGCUGGAGCACUGUAGAGGCAGGCGGAAUUCCGGGUGUAGCGGUGGAAUGCGUAGAGAUCCGGAAGAACACCAGUGGCGAAGGCGGCCUGCUGGGCAGUGGCUGACGCUGAGACGCGAAAGCGCGGGGAGCGAACAGG
rnacentral:rRNA from 1 species